rnacentral:rRNA from 1 species
ACGUCUUUUUCCCGCUUUCCUCUGAAUUACUGGGCGUAAAGCGCACGCAGGCGGUUUGUUAAGUCAGAUGUGAAAUCCCCGGGCUCAACCUGGGAACUGCAUCUGAUACUGGCAAGCUUGAGUCUCGUAGAGGGGGGUAGAAUUCCAGGUGUAGCGGUGAAAUGCGUAGAGAUCUGGAGGAAUACCGGUGGCGAAGGCGGCCCCCUGGACGAAGACUGACGCUCAGGUGCGAAAGCGUGGGGAGCAAACAG